rnacentral:rRNA from 1 species
UACAGAGGUCCCAAGCGUUACUGAGAAUCACUGGGUUUAAAGGGCGCGUAGGCGGUCAGCACAAGUCAGUUGUGAAAUCUCCGGGCUUAACUCGGAAAGGUCAACUGAUACUGUGCGACUAGAGUGCAGAAGGGGCAACUGGAAUUCUCGGUGUAGCGGUGAAAUGCGUAGAUAUCGAGAGGAACACCUGCGGCGAAGGCGGGUUGCUGGGCUGACACUGACGCUGAUGCGCGAAAGCCAGGGGAGCGAACGGG